GCCUUGAUGAGUGAGCACAGCCUCUAAAUCAGUAUUAUAACCAGUUAGAGGAUGUGAAAUAGGGAACAUUUUAUUAACUGGUGUGCCAUGUAUAGUUUAUAGCCAAAAACUAGUAACCUAGUGAGAUGUGGAGGAGGGUGUUUUUUUCCACCACAGGAUAUUUAGUAGAAAAGGGAAGGAAAUAAAAUUAGUUUCCUAAUUUGUUUCUUUACAUCACCCUGCUACUGUUUUGUUUUGUGUCUUGUGCUGUAUAUGUGAAUUUAUGCAGAGAGAACAUUGACUUCAGACCUUUACAGAUCCUACUGCUGCACUUUCCAGCACGAACAGCUCUGUGUCUUUCAUUGUAUAUGUUA
ensembl:lncRNA